GUUGGUGCGGCGAGGAGGAGGAGGCGGAGUGACUCGGCGGCCAUUAGCUGUGUAUAGUUGCCCGGGACUAGGAGCUUAAGUGAAGAGGGAAAUCAUAUUCUGUGGAAAUCAGUCGUGGCCAUGGGCUCCAGCCAGGGUUAAUCUCAGAGUACGGAGCAGGCGGGGCCCGUCGGCGCCCCGCCCCGCCCAGUGGCGGGGCCUGCUAGGCCUCGCGGCAUCCCCGGUCUCUAGUAGGCCCAGUCUGCCGGCAAGGGCGUCCCAAAGGCGGGAGGCGCCAUGUCUCUGGUUGCCUACGCCAGCAGCGAUGAGAGCGAGCCAGACGAGGGGGAGCCGGAGCCGGAGGAAGAAGAGGCGGCGGCCCUUGCGCCUGGGCCCACCUUGGGAGGCUUGUUCGCUUCCCUUCCUGCACCCAAGGGUCCGGCCUUGCUGCCCCCGCCCCCCCAGAUGCUGGCCCCGGCCUUCCCCCCGCCCCUGAUGCUGCCCCCGCCCGCCGGAGACCCCAGACUCCAGCCUCCUCCGCCCUUGCCCUUCGGCCUGGGAGGCUUCCCCCCGCCUCCAGGCGUGAGCCCGGCUGAAGCGGCGGGAGUCGGGGAGGGGAUGGGUCUGGGGCUGCCAGCUCCCCGAGGCCCUGGCCUCAGCCUGCCCUCCCCUGUCGGCGGUGCCGGCCCCCCCCCGGGGCUUCCCAAGCCAAAGAAGAGGACAGAGCCGGUGAAGAUCGCGGCGCCGGAGCUGCACAAGGAGGAUUCAGAUUCUGAGGAAGAUGAACCCACAAAGAAGAAAAUUGUCCUUCAGGGAUCUGGCGAGGGGACUGGUUUGUCUGCCUUGCUUCCCCAACCUAAAAAUCUGACUGUGAAAGAGACUAACAGGUUGCUCCUGCCCCAUGCCUUCUCCCGGAAACCCUCAGAUGGCUCCUCUGAUGCCAAGCCCUCCAGACUGGCUUCUAAGACCAAGCCCUCCUCUCUUGCACCUGUCGUGGGCACCACAACCACCACUCCGUCACCCUCUGCCAUCAAGGCUGCUGCCAAGAGCGCUGCCCUGCAGGUGACGAAGCAGAUCACGCAGGAAGAGGAUGACAGUGAUGAGGAAGUGGCCCCUGAGAACUUUUUCUCCCUCCCUGAGAAGGCUGAGGCACCUGGAGUUGAGCCAUACCUUUACCCUGUCCCCACUGUCCCUGAAGAGCUGCCUCCGGGCAUGGAGCCUGAGCUGGCAUUCCAGGACGAUGCGGCCAACGCCCCGCUGGAGUUUAAGAUGGCAGCAGGCUCCAGUGGGGCCCCUUGGAUGGCUAAGCCUGGGGAUGACUACAGCUACAAUCAGUUCUCUGCAUAUGGCGAUGCCAAUGCUGCUGGUGCUUAUUAUCAGAACACAUCGGUCUGGAUGAUGCAGAUCAGAAGCUGCAGGGACUGUUGGUGGUUUAGAGGGAUUAUUACAGUGGUGGCUACUAUCCUGCGCAGGACCCGGCUCUGGCCUCCUCCCAGGAAAUCGCCCCAGAUGCCUCCUUCAUUGAUGACGAAGCAUUUAAGCGGCUACAAGGCAAGAGGAACCGAGGGCGGGAGGAAAUCACCUUCGUGGAGAUCAAAGGUGAUGACCAGCUCAGUGGGGCCCAGCAGUGGAUGACCAAGUCGCUGACAGAAGAGAAGACCAUGAAGUCAUUCAGCAAAAAGAAAGGCGAGCAGCCAACAGGCCAGCAGCGGCGGAAACACCAGAUCACAUAUCUGAUUCACCAGGCUAAAGAGCGGGAGCUGGAACUGAAGAACACCUGGUCAGAGAACAAACUCAGCCGCCGCCAGACCCAAGCCAAAUAUGGAUUCUAGGGCUCUGGAACCCACUGCUCCCAGGAUCUCCUACAGCCCAGGCGGCCCAGCCCCAGCUUCGCCUCCGGGACCCCCACUGCUCUAAGCCCAGGACCUCUUUCCCUGGACCCCAGCCCUCGCCUCUGCGAGAAUGAACCUAUUUGAUAGAUUUUUCUUAACAAGGUAGAAAAUUCAGCUCCUUCCUGUGACGGAGCCAGCAAAGACUUGAGUGCUGCCUCCACAGGGCCGGGCUCUGGGGUGGGAGUUUCCCCGUCGGGCGUGGUCAGGUAUUGAACUCUUCCCCCAGCCUUUUUUUUUUUUAAAACAAGGGUUAAAAUAAAACAUUCAGUCUGACA